UUCAGGUACAAAGCAGCAAGUGCCAGGAAUGGUCUGUGUCCAAACAAGGGCUGACCACACACACUACUAGCUACAUAGAGCCUGGUUUCAUACACCCUAACACAUCACACAUCUGAACUGUAUAAGAGAAAAGGAAGACUGGGAAAAAAAUCAAGGAAGCAUUGGAAUGCUGGAAUGCUAGAGAUCAUUAGAGCUUAUAAGGAAAUGAAAGCACAGGGAGAUUAAAUUCCUGCUGUAUGUCACAGAGCCAGUAAAUGGCAGAGACAAGAUGUGAACCCUGCAGUCUGCACAGCUACUACUAUGCAAUGGAGACAGGAUCAGAAGCUGGAGAGUCCCACAGUGGCCAUCUGCAGGUUGGAGAGCUGGAGGAACCAGUAGUUGCUCUAAGAAGUUGGAGCUUCAGAAGGAGGACCAAGAAGACUGUAGUCCCCAGGUUGGGACUAAAGGCCUGAAAACUCCCUGGAGGGUUGAUCUUCUUUGAAGACUAAAGAAGCGAGAGUCCAAUGUCCUCAGACCAUCAUGGCAGCAACUGAAGCACCUGCUCAGGGAGAAUCUAGUUUGUGUCUGUGUCAGCUUCCUCAUUCUUCCACCUUUUGUCCCAUCCAAGGCCCCAAUUUAUUGAAAUGUACUGCCUUCAGUUUCCUUUCCCACAUGCCAGUCAUUCCUAGAAACAACCUCAUCCAUACGCUCAGAAGCCUCUUAAUCCAAUUAAAUUGACAAUUCAGAUUAA